rnacentral:rRNA from 1 species
GUGCCAAGCAGCCGCGGUAAUUCCAGCUCCAAUAGCGUAUAUUAAAGUUGUUGCCGUUAAAAAGCUCGUAGUCGAACUUCGGCGCCUGAUGGCCGGUCCGCCUUCUUGGUGUGUACUUGCUCAUCGGGCGCUUACCUCCUGGUGAACUCUGAUGUCCUUUACUGGGUGUCAGAGCAAACCAGGACGUUUACUUUGAAAAAAUUAGAGUGUUCAAAGCAGGCCUACGCCCGAAUACAUUAGCAUGGAAUAAUAGAAUAGGACGCGCGUUCCCAUUUUGUUGGUUUCUGAGAUCGCCGUAAUGAUUAAUAGGGAUAGUUGGGGGCAUUUGUAUUCCGUCGUCAGAGGUGAAAUUCUUGGAUUGCCGGAAGACAAACUACUGCGAAAGCAUUUGCCAAGGAUGUUUUCAUUGAUCAAGAACGAAGGAAGGGGGAUCGAAAACGAUCAGAUACCGUUGUAGUCUCUUCUGUAAACUAUGCCAAUUGGGGAUUAGCACAGGAUUUUCAAUGACUGUGUUAGCACCCGAAGAGAAAUCUUUAAAUGAGGUUCGGGGGGGAGUAUGGUCGCAAGGCUGAAACUUAAAGGAAUUGACGGAAGGGCACCACCAGGUGUGGAGCCUGCGGCUUAAUUUGACUCAACACGGGGAAACUCACCAGGUCCAGACACAAUAAGGAUUGACAGAUUGAUAGCUCUUUCUUGAUCUUGUGGUUGGUGGUGCAUGGCCGUUCUUAGUUGGUGGAGUGAUUUGUCUGGUUAAUUCCGAUAACGAACGAGACCUUAACCUGCUAAAUAGACCAGUCGACUUUGGUUGACUGCUGUCUUCUUAGAGGGACUAUCAGCGUUUAGCUGAUGGAAGUUUGAGGCAAUAACAGGUCUGUGAUGCCC